rnacentral:rRNA from 1 species
GACGAACGCUGGCGGCGUGCUUAACACAUGCAAGUCGAACGGAAAGGCCCUGCUUUUGUGGGGUGCUCGAGUGGCGAACGGGUGAGUAACACGUGAGUAACCUGCCCUUGUCUUUGGGAUAACUUCAGGAAACUGGGGCUAAUACCGGAUAGGAGCUCCUGCUGCAUGGUGGGGGUUGGAAAGUUUCGGCGGUUGGGGAUGGACUCGCGGCUUAUCCGCUUGUUGGUGGGGUAGUGGCUUACCAAGGCUUUGACGGGUAGCCGGCCUGAGAGGGUGACCGGCCACAUUGGGACUGAGAUACGGCCCAGACGCCUACGGGAGGCAGCAGUGGGGAAUAUUGCACAAUGGGCGGAAGCCUGAUGCAGCAACGCCGCGUGCGGGAUGACGGCCUACGGGUGGUAAACCGCUUUCGCCGGUGACGAAGCGUGAGUGACGGUAAUGGGUAAAGAAGCACCGGCUAACUACGUG